rnacentral:lncRNA from 1 species
AUGCUGUUUGGAGAGCCUUUUGUGGAACAAUGUUCAACAUUUUCUAAGCAAUUGGAGGCGACUGUCCAGUUGUAUGUAGCAACAAGGUGUGCCCACCAGAUGGCUCUACUUCAAGGAGUAAUACAAUUCUGGUCUUUUGGAUUGAAGGAGCAGAACUGGAAUGCAGGAUGCCUGCUGAUCGGGAAGUGCGCUGAGAUUUCUCCUACAGACUUAGAUUCUAAUUUCAUUUCUAAUUUGGAAUGGCUCCCAGUGCUCUGCACGGCCUGUCUAAAUGACUAGAAGGUAAGUCUUUAAAAUAAUAAACUGAAUUAGAGAUUUAAUGGUCGAAGAUGU